CUUUAUGAUGAGCAUUGCAACGAAUUUCUUCAACCGACACACCAUGAGGAAAGACAACUUUGACAGAGCUUUUUAACACUGAGA
rnacentral:snoRNA from 1 species